UCUUCUUGGAGAAUCUAGCUGCCUGAUUGUGUGGUGCAGUAUCCAGGACUUGUACUUUGAGGAAGUUAGAAUGUUUCAAGCAUGCGUGCGUCGUGAAGACAUUAGCAUGGAAAAA
rnacentral:rRNA from 1 species